UCUGCAUGUACAUUUGCACUCCAAAGGAGG
rnacentral:piRNA from 1 species